rnacentral:rRNA from 1 species
GACGUAGGGCGCGAGCGUUGUCCGGAUUUAUUGGGCGUAAAGAGCUCGUAGGCGGCUUGUCGCGUCGACUGUGAAAUCCCGCGGCUCAACUGCGGGUCUGCAGUCGAUACGGGCAGGCUAGAGUUCGGUAGGGGAGACUGGAAUUCCUGGUGUAGCGGUGAAAUGCGCAGAUAUCAGGAGGAACACCGGUGGCGAAGGCGGGUCUCUGGGCCGAAAUUGACGCUGAGGAGCGAAAGCGUGGGGAGCAAACAGG